AGAAUCAACGCUGGCGGCGUGCCUAACACAUGCAAGUCGCACGAGAAAGGGGAGCAAUCCCUGAGUAAAGUGGCGCACGGGUGAGUAACACGUGAAUAAUCUACCUCCGAGUGGGGAAUAACUGAGAGAAAUCUUAGCUAAUACCGCAUAACACUUACGAGUCAAAGCAGCAAUGCGCUUGGAGAGGAGUUCGCGGCCGAUUAGUUAGUUGGCGGGGUAAUGGCCCACCAAGACGAUGAUCGGUAUCCGGCCUGAGAGGGCGCACGGACACACUGGAACUGAAACACGGUCCAGACUCCUACGGGAGGCAGCAGUGGGGAAUUUUGCGCAAUGGGGGAAACCCUGACGCAGCAACGCCGCGUGGAGGAUGAAGCCCUUGGGGUGUAAACUCCUUUCGAUCGGGAAGAUAAUGACGGUACCGAUAUAAGAAGCCCCGGCUAACUUCGCGCCAGCAGCCGC
rnacentral:rRNA from 1 species